GACUCCUACGGGAGGCAGCAGUGGGGAAUAUUGCACAAUGGGCGCAAGCCUGAUGCAGCGACGCCGCGUGAGGGAUGGAGGCCUUCGGGUUGUAAACCUCUUUUAUCGGGGAGCAAGCGAGAGUGAGUUUACCCGUUGAAUAAGCACCGGCUAACUACGUGCCAGCAGCCGCGGUAAUACGUAGGGUGCAAGCGUUAUCCGGAAUUAUUGGGCGUAAAGGGCUCGUAGGCGGUUCGUCGCGUCCGGUGUGAAAGUCCAUCGCUUAACGGUGGAUCCGCGCCGGGUACGGGCGGGCUUGAGUGCGGUAGGGGAGACUGGAAUUCCCGGUGUAACGGUGGAAUGUGUAGAUAUCGGGAAGAACACCAAUGGCGAAGGCAGGUCUCUGGGCCGUUACUGACGCUGAGGAGCGAAAGCGUGGGGAGCGAACAGGAUUAGAUACCCUGGUAGUCCACGCCGUAAACGGUGGAUGCUGGAUGUGGGGCCCGUUCCACGGGUUCCGUGUCGGAGCUAACGCGUUAAGCAUCCCGCCUGGGGAGUACGGCCGCAAGGCUAAAACUCAAAGAAAUUGACGGGGGCCCGCACAAGCGGCGGAGCAUGCGGAUUAAUUCGAUGCAACGCGAAGAACCUUACCUGGGCUUGACAUGUUCCCGACGGUCGUAGAGAUACGGCUUCCCUUCGGGGCGGGUUCACAGGUGGUGCAUGGUCGUCGUCAGCUCGUGUCGUGAGAUGUUGGGUUAAGUCCCGCAACGAGCGCAACCCUCGCCCCGUGUUGCCAGCGGAUUAUGCCGGGAACUCACGGGGGACCGCCGGGGUUAACUCGGAGGAAGGUGGGGAUGACGUCAGAUCAUCAUGCCCCUUACGUCCAGGGCUUCACGCAUGCUACAAUGGCCGGUACAACGGGAUGCGACGCGGCGACGCGGAGCGGAUCCCUGAAAACCGGUCUCAGUUCGGAUCGCAGUCUGCAACUCGACUGCGUGAAGGCGGAGUCGCUAGUAAUCGCGAAUCAGCAACGUCGCGGUGAAUGCGUUCCCGGGCCUUGUACACACCGCCCGUCAAGUCAUGAAAGUGGGCAGCACCCGAAGCCGGUGGCCUAACCCCUUGUGGGAUGGAGCCGUCUAAGGUGAGGCUCGUGAUUGGGACUAAGUCGUAACAAGGUAGCCGUACCGGAAGGUGCGGCUG
rnacentral:rRNA from 1 species